rnacentral:rRNA from 1 species
UACGUAGGUGGCAAGCGUUGUCCGGAAUUACUGGGUGUAAAGGGCGUGUAGGCGGGGAUGCAAGUCAGAUGUGAAAUUCCGGGGCUCAACUCCGGAGCUGCAUCUGAAACUGUAUCUCUUGAGUGCUGGAGAGGAAAGCGGAAUUCCUAGUGUAGCGGUGAAAUGCGUAGAUAUUAGGAGGAACACCAGUGGCGAAGGCGGCUUUCUGGACAGUAACUGACGCUGAGGCGCGAAAGCGUGGGGAGCAAACAGG